rnacentral:lncRNA from 1 species
UCGCACGCACGCACGCACACGCACGCACACACACACACACACACACACACAGACGCCCCAGAAAAAAGGCAUGUUCUCUCUAGGAGGCAAAACGACAGGUGCUCGAGCCCCUGGAGGUCUUUCUCUCUCUAUAUAUAUGCGCUGUAUAUACAUGUGCCAAACCCAGAUACACAAAACUAACCGGAAUAACAUUGUUCAUUGUAUUAAUGCAAAACAGAAUCUGGCAUUUGAACAAAAUGGUCAAUAUGUGUGUGUGUAUGUGUUUGUAUUCUUUUUUUUCUCGCCUCUCUGUUUUUUUUUCUCUCUCUCUCUGUCUUUACUGUAAGCAUUAAUGCUCUUUGCAUUUCUUUAUCAUGAGUUAAAACUGUUCUCCGGUAGAUACAGUAUGUAGAUUUUCACCUCUGUGACACACAAACACUCACUCAGCUGUAUUGACUGGUGUCUUACUUAGAAAGCCCGAGGCAGUUGAGUGGGUUGGAUUCCAUUCUCUGGUCAUUUAUGAUGGCUACUUUGGACAGUGAUACAAUGAAUUCAUUCGUAGUAGCAAAUGAAAGGGAAUUGUCCUGAGAUUAGAACGAUUUAAAACAAAACCAAAAAUAUUUAUGAAAAGUAAAAUGAAAAACAUGAAAAUCCCCUCUCAGGCAUACAAAACAAUAUGGGUUCCAGUUCUAGUUCUUUUGUUAAGACACAUCUUUGUGUUCCUUAUACACUAACCAGAACAGAGCCGAGGAUUUCUGUUCAAAACUUCUAAUACACAACUUACUUAAUACUUCACUAGCAAUGAUGGAGCAGCCAAAGCACAGGAUGACACCAGGACAUUCGGGAAACUAGAGCGGAGGAGAGUUCGUCUUUGUUUCAACAGAUGUCGGAGCCCGGGAUCCAGCCUGCAAUCACUAGCAGUAAUUUACCUUGUAAGUGCAACCUGGUUACGCGCAAACACUCGGGUGAACAAGAGCCUGUCGGAUGGACACUGAAUGCAGACCCAUCUGCAAAAAACAAGACCUGCAUUGCACACAGCUACAGGGUCUCUCUUUUGGCAGUGGAGGAACUGGUCCCUUCCAGGACUGCUACACUAUCAGCACCAAACAGGAGAGCGUCCCACUGCCAGAUGUCACACCUCAGCCCGCACCUCUUGGAAUAACAAACCUCUCUGAGGCGCAUAACCACACCAUGCGUUAUAGGGUUAGUUAUAACACCAGGGUGGACAUUGACCAUAUGGGAUGAUGAAGCAAAUAUGUCAUCACAAACAGCCCCAGAGAAGCCAAACUAUUGUAUCUGAAUGAACAGCAGGUAAAAGGUUAAAACAGUUAUGGACUCAAAUUGAUCUUCCAGCUGGGGUUAUUGGGCGAGAAGAGGUGUUGAAAUUCUUAAUUUUAUUUUGUAUUUUAUUGUCGGCAUGACUAAUAUUACACUGUCAUGAAGGCUAACCGACAGAGCCAGCAGGUACGACUGCAGACUUGUACCCUUGAAGUCUGAGUCAGUCUCAUGGCAACAAGUGCACAGAAGCGAGACAAUAUCCGUAAGUGUGCUUCAUGGUCUGGAUAUCACGCAAAAGUUACUUUUGUUGUAAAGUUGGGUAUUUUCUGUAAGAUGAGCCCUUGGAAAUGUGAAUAUAUUGUUAGUAGGUAAAUUCAUGUCCUGGCAGCUGCACUCGUUUUGCGCCCGAAUAUUUCCAUCCUGAUAAUGCCACAUUAAAAGAUAUGCACCAACAAUGCGCCUGACCGCGCCUCAUUUUAAGACCAACACGCCCAUGGGUGCUCGGAUGGGUGCAAGUGCAUUU